UAUAUGUCUGUUUUGCUUGGAUCCAAGCCUUUACAAAAGCAAAUAAACAUGUCCUAAACUUCCAUUCAUUUUUUUUUUUACAAGAUCAAAGAGGAAAAGCUGUCUGGAUGUAAAUAGCUAAGCCUCUAAUGAGAUGAUCAGUGAAUUGUUUCUCUCUUGUACUAUAAGCAUUUAAAUUAAAAUAUUGCACUUAGGACACUGCACUUGUAACUUUUGUAUAGCAGGAUCCAAGUGUCCAACACAAGCCAAACAAAUAACUUCAGCGAUUAGCUUUCAAUAUAGGUCCCUAGCCUCUGACCUUUCUUAUUCAACAGAGGCAAGCCAAAUGCUUUGUUAAAGAAUAUUAAUUGUGCCUGGCACUUCUCUAGGACCAAAGACAUCACAAGCAGUUUCCUACUAGCAAGAAGCUGUUGGCAAGAAGCAAAAUCUCAUGCAUAUUUCUGCUCAACUGGAGGCUGACUCAUCUGUACCAGAGGUGAAGAAAAGUCUGAUCUGGUGCUCCCUGUGCAACACUUGGAAAUGGAAGUGGAAUGGCUACACAGUUUCCAGGUGGGCCAUAAGCAAAAUAAAUGUUCUGCUGGCAAGAAGAAAUUACAACAGUAGCUAGUCUCCUGUUAAAUGGAAUUUGAAGUUACUGUCUAAUAUCAAGGGCCUAAACAUGAUGCGUCACAUUUUGUCUGCACUCAAACUGGUUUCAAGUCACUGUAACUUCUCUGACCUCCAUGGACUUUCUCUUGUUCUGCAACAUGCUUGGCCAACAGUAAAUGUGUUGGAAAUUCCUCCAGGGAAAACCUCUCUCCUGGAGCCCUUUGCGGUA